rnacentral:rRNA from 1 species
UACGGGGGGGGCAAGCGUUGUUCGGAAUUACUGGGCGUAAAGAGCUCGUAGGCGGCUCAGUAAGUCAGGUGUGAAAACUCCAGGCUCAACCUGGAGACGCCACUUGAUACUGCUGUGGCUAGAGUCCGGUAGGGGAGCAUGGAAUUCCUGGUGUAGCGGUGAAAUGCGCAGAUAUCAGGAGGAACACCAGUGGCGAAGGCGGUGCUCUGGGCCGGAACUGACGCUGAGGAGCGAAAGCGUGGGGAGCAAACAGG